CCUACGGGAGGCAGCAGCUAAGAAUAUUCCGCAAUGGACGAAAGUCUGACGGAGCGACGCCGCGUGGAUGAUGAAGGCCGAAAGGUUGUAAAGUCCUUUUGCUGGGGAAGAAUAAGUGUGGGAGGGAAUGCCCGCAUGAUGACAUGAACCGGCGAAUAAGCCCCGGCCAACUACGUGCCAGCAGCCGCGGUAACACGUAGGGGGCGAGCGUUGUUCGGAAUUACUGGGCGUAAAGGGCAUGUAGGCGGUCUGGUAAGCCUGGCGUGAAAGGCCACAGCUCAACUGUGGGAUUGCGUUGGGAACUGCUGGGCUUGAGUUAUGGAGAGGGAGCUAGAAUUCCUGGUGUAGGGGUGAAAUCUGUAGAUAUCAGGAAGAAUACCGAUGGCGAAGGCAAGCUCCUGGCCGAUGACUGACGCUGAGGUGCGAAAGUGUGGGGAUCAAACAGGAUUAGAUACCCUGGUAGUCCACACUGUAAACGAUGUGCACUAGGUGCUGGGGCGGUAGCUUCAGUGCCGGAGCGAACGUGGUAAGUGCACCGCCUGGGGAGUAUGCUCGCAAGGGUGAAACUCAAAUGAAUUGACGG
rnacentral:rRNA from 1 species